rfam:Gossypium hirsutum cultivar TM-1 unplaced genomic scaffold scaffold190.1, whole genome shotgun sequence
UAGUAAAAAAUUCAUUUAUUUCUAUUGUUAAAAACUGGCAUUUCUGAUAGAAUAACCAGACAGUUACACGUGGUGUGCCAUGUUUACCUCAUUUUGGCGUACAGAACCAAUUUUUAAUAGUAGAAAUGGAUGACAUUUUUAACA